CCUAAGGUAGCGAAAUUCCUUGUCGGGUAAGUUCCGACCUGCACGAAUGGCGUAACGACUUCCCCACUGUCUCGACCAGGAGCUCGGCGAAAUUGCAGUACGAGUAAAGAUGCUCGUUAAGCGCAGAAGGACGAAAAGACCCCGGGACCUUUACUAUACCUUGGUAUUGGCGUUAGGCGCGGAUUGUGUAGCAUAGGCGGGAGGCUUCGAAGCGUGGGCGCCAGCUCAUGUGGAGCCGCAAGGUGAAAUACCGCUCUGUUCUCGUUUGACGUCUCACCUCGAACGGUCAUCCUGUUCAGGGACAGUGCCUGGCGGGUAGUUUAACUGGGGCGGUUGCCUCCCAAAGAGUAACGGAGGCGCUCAAAGGUCCGCUCAGCCCGGUUGGCAAUCGGGUGUCGAGUGUAAUCGCACAAGCGGGCUUGACUGCGAGGACGACGGUCCGAGCAGGGACGAAAGUCGGGACUAGUGAUCCGGUGCCGGUGUACGGACGCGGCAUCGCUCAACGGAUAAAAGGUACCCCGGGGAUAACAGGCUGAUCAUUCCCAAGAGUCCAUAUCGACGGGAUGGUUUGGCACCUCGAUGUCGGCUCGUCGCAUCCUGGGGCUGGAGCAGGUCCCAAGGGUUCGGCUGUUCGCCGAUUAAAGCGGCACGCGAGCUGGGUUCAGAACGUCGUGAGACAGUUUGGUCUCUAUCCUCUGCGCUCGUUGGAAUGCUGAGGAGGCCUGCCCAUAGUACGAGAGGACCUGGGUGGACGAACCUCUGGUAUGCCGGUUGUCACGCCAGUGGCACGGCCGGUUGGCUACGUUCGGAAGGGAUAACCGCUGAAAGCAUCUAAGCGGGAAGCCUGCUCCAAGAUAAGCAUUCCGUGGAACCUUCGAGUUCCUGUAGUCCCCAUGCAGAACACGUGGUCGAUAGGCCGGACGUGGAAGCCCCGCGAGGGGUGGAGCCGACCGGUACUAACGGACGAAAGGCAACACUAA
rnacentral:rRNA from 1 species